CCCUGACAGGUGCAUCCCGCAUCUGACACUAGCCACGACAGGAGAUCCAUAUG
ncrna:unclassified sequences Mu-gpT-DE RNA